UAUAUCACUUUCUCUGCAUGUGUGGUUAGAUGUGUUCUAUGUGUUUAACCUUUCUCUAUACAUACUGGAAUGAACCAAGGAAUUGUAGCGAUCACAUAGUUUAAAAACUAUGUGAUCAUGUUUUUUCUUCCAAACUCAUUGUUUUAGCACGCACGCUGACUUCCAUCAGUAAUGAUGAUAUAUAUACAUUGAGUCAUUGGUUUGUAGGGGGAAAGAGUGGGUGAAUAUAAUUAUCUUGGUUUAACUUACUGUUUAUCAUACCGCUCUUCGCAGCAAUAUCUUUCUCUGCUCCGAUUGCAACGCUGCCUCGUUCAAAAAUCAUAACACCGCCGCGGCCGCCACGUUUACCAGCCGGAGCCUCAAAUCAUGUCCCUUUGUGGUGAAAAAGAGGACACAGCCUGGUGUGAAGCGACAUUUACUACGGAAGGAUGCCAGCCGGGGGUAAGUGAUUUAUAUAAAUAAUGAUAAUGUGGAAAUUCUAAUCAUUUUCACGCUGACAGUUGUUCUGAACUUGCUAACUGCAUGCCUCCCCUCCUCCCGCGGCAAGAGGCCGAAUGGCCUACACACGGCAGCUCCAGAUUCCCCCCAUUACCACCUGUCAGCCUCGUCCAUGUAGCUAUCCAGUCUACUCUUAAAACAAGCUAUCGUCCCCGCACUCACUAUGUGAUUGCUGAAUCUAUUCCAUUCCCCCAUCACCCUAUUACUGAACCAAUGCCUGCCCAUUUCCCUCCUAAAUCUAUACUUUUCUAAUUUAAGUCAAUUACUGCAUGUUCUAUCUUGCCAAACAUCUUAUGGAAAAGUUAACCAGCAUCUUCACUCUUUCAUCCCUUACACUGAUAAACUCUGGAACAGCCUUCCAUCGUCUGCAUUUCCUCCUGCCUAUAAUUUGACCUUCAAGAAGAGUGUAUCAAGACUCUACUUUUGUUUGUUUGGGAGUGGUGAGUAGUGGGGCUUUUUUUUUCUAGUACGCUUUGUUGCCCUUGAGCUGUCUCCUUUGUUUAAAGAAAAUAAUAAUUAAAUAAAUGGAAGUUGGCCGCCAAUGCUUCCAACACAUUUUGGUGCCAUAUCUACAAGUGGCUGGUGACUGUAAGUAUCUCAGCAACCUGCAUGCAUCUAUGCCAUUCCUAUCACGCUGCAUGGAGCAAGCUUCACAUAACACUCAGACAGAGACAGUUUAAUUAUGGUUACAUAUCUGACUCAGUUUAUUGCUGUCUAUUAGAUGCAGUGCUGUUAAUAUUGUUAGUGGUAGUAUUAGUACAAUUAAUGUAUUUGUUUUAAUUAAUUUAUCUAUUUAUUUAUUAUAUGCUUAGUGUCUGAAAAUUCCAAUACUAGUAUUAAGAUAAACAAAAAUAUCAGAAAUAUAUUUACACUCAUUAAUUAUUAUUGCUUUUCUUAUUAUUAAUUCCUUCAAUGUCCUGGCACUUUGACAUCUAGUGCUUUUCCAUCUAGCAGCCAAAAUUGUGGUCUUUCUCAAUGUAUAUGCCCUAAGUCUUCAUUGGUGUAACUAGCUAUAUAACAUAAAAAUCUGCAUCUCUCUCCCUUCUCACCCAGUUGUCCCUGUACAUCCUUUCAGUAUCCAAAGAAUUUCAAUUUACAUCUUGUAAUCACUCAACUAAUGCAGUGCAAUCCUCAUCUCUGUAUUUUACCGUGUGGACAUACUCUUUCCUUCCAUGUUCCACUGUCGUAUGUUAUUCCACAUCUAACAAAACCUCAUCCCAACAGAUCCGAACACAUCCGAUAUCAUCCAAGAGAAUGUGGCAGCUGAAGGGGGAGAGGCCAAGAAAGAGGCCAAGGGUGAAGACAUUUAGCCACCCCCCCUGAAGUACAUGGCAGCAUUCAACCCUCUUGGUGAGCUGCAGGAAUGUGCUUCCCAUUGCAGUGCACCAGCUCCAUGUACUGAUUUUGGGUGUGAACUUGAUGGGGUUGGAGGAAACUCGACUCGGCCAUCAAGCUCACCACAAUAUAACAUGAAAAGUGAAAAUUGCUGCACACAACAGUCUGCUGUCUGUGCCGGGAGGCAAGGCAUCUCAAAGCCCAGGCUGUUACAACUCCUGGGCAGUUUUUGCCCUGAGCCAGCAAUUUUUUAGAUCCAAUAGGGAUGGAUUUUUUCUGAGGUCAGGUUCAACAUGCUGCAAGAUGCCAAGAUCUAAGCCUAGUAGGAGAUAUGGGUUACAAGAGAGGAGGUUUGCUCUGGCCUUAUACUAUCAAAGUCCAAAUGCUAAUAGAUUUCUGAGCACAGUAUUUCACUUGCCUUCAGUUUCAACACUUCACUCAUGACUCAGGGGUAUUUCAGUACAUGUUGGCUGGAGCAAACAGACUCUGACAGCCCUGCAGCAAAGAGCACAGGCUUUGUCAAAAGAAGAGAAACUUCGUGGGAUUUGCCAUUAUUUAGUAUUACUCUUGUUACGGCAAGAAUUUUUUUCCAUAUACUUUGCCAAAUAUUGCAAGUAAUGCACCAUUGUUGGGCUUGCUUGUUAUAAAUCAGAUCUUGUUCAAUUAACAAGCUUUGGGUGUCUGCCACUUUCCAGUUGUAAUGCAAGGAAUCAUUUAUCUUCCCUGCUAGAUAUCACAUGUAAUGCACCAUUGUUGGUUUUGCCUGUUAUAAAUCAGAUCUUGUUCAGUUAACAAGCUUUAAGUGUCUGCCACUUUCCAAUUGUAAUGCAAGGAAUCCUCUGCCAGAUAUCACAUGUAAUGCACCAUUGUUGGUUUUGCCUGUUAUAAAUCAGAUCUUGUUCAGCUCACAAGCUUUGAAUAUCUGCCAUCGUUUAUUUCAGGUGUAACGCUUGGAAGCAUUUGUUCUCUUCCCUGCCCAACAGUAUGCAAUACUUUAUUGUGGAUUUUGCCUGUUAUGUUUACUCUUGUUCAGGUAACAAGCUUUUGGUGUCUGCCUUACCUAAUAUGUGCUGCAGUGACACUUGGCUUGGUUUCAUGAUGUGAAAUACAGCAUGUAAUUUCAUCACACUAAGUGUCUGUUAUCAUGUGUCUGGCAUCAUUAAUGUGGCUUCCAGGAGUAAUCUUGUUUGUAUUACAGCAUGUAAUGUUUUUUCUGCUUUAUAUGAUAUACAUAAUCACAUAGGUAUGAUUUACAAAAUGUAAUGGCAGUUGAUAUU